AAGAGGAGGCUUAUCUUAUCAAAAGGCCGAUAACCCAUUGUUGAGUUAGGUUCUGCUACUUAUAAUGGCGAGAGCAUAGGGUUAAUAUUGCAUGAACCAGAGGACGAGAUGAUCCUGGAUGAGUUCAUUCACGUUAUCAAAUUACUGAUACUUUUGAGGUGCGACGCCAUAUCUGCAUCGUUUUUCUCUUAUGAUGAUAAUGUUAGAUGAGUGUUAAGAAUUUGCUAGAAGGGCUUCCAGAAGAAUACAAUUUUGAGACUGCUCUUGCCGAUCUAAUACUAUAAUGGAAUCUGAGUUAUCUACCCAACUGGACUAUGUAGUGAAAGGGAAAGAGUUUAUAUUAAAACAGAUGGACAGAAAAGGUGAUACUGCUGGUGCUGUAAUCUGUAAUCUUUCAAAGAACAUUCAGUUUCUAGAAUUUCAGGAUUACUUAAAGCAAGAUACACUUGCCAUUGUUGCACUUCUUGGGACCAUCAAUGACAUCAGUGCUAGUGGGUAACUUCCAUUGUUUUACACUUUAACAUUAAAUCUGCUUUUUGCUGCAAGUGCCAACAUGGAACAUGAUCACCCUUUUGUUUGUCUAUUGAAGGGUGUUUGCAGAGUACUUGGGUGAAGAUUUCAUGCUUGCAGUUGUUUGCAAGUUAUGCAAUAGCAUUGAAUUUGUGAACAAA